GAGUGAACUUGAAUAAUAGUGUACCAUGAACACACAGUCAUGCACAGAGAUCCAACAAUCAAGUUGUUUGUUAAAUAAUAUGGAAAAGUUCAGUAUGUUUCUCACCAAACCUUACUGUAUAACCCCAGAAAACUUGGAAUAGACAUCACAUGAUACAUAAGACCACUUUAUUAUAUUUUUGCUUCUAUUUUAACAGCUUGAUGUUAUUCGCCAUAGACUGACAUUAUAUGGACAAGCACAUUUUGGACGUUUUAUUUAAAUCUCCUUUUGUGGUCUAACAAAGAAACGUAUGACAUAGGACAAAUCCAAGGGCGAACACUUGACCUUACAUCAGCGUGUAAUAUCGGAAGUGUGACGUAAUUAUUCAGUGAGUCCCGUUAGCUCAGAGGGAGGGGCGGGGCUUGUGAGCUACCCUGGGUCCAGCCGCUGGGGGCGAUCGAGACGCACUGGCGUCACGCUGCAGCAGCGCUUGUGAGGAUCCCUCGGUGUGCGCAUGCGCGAGUAAGAAGAGCCGAGCUGCAAGAGAGUAUUGAGAGUUAUAUGGUGAGUGCGAGUCCUCUUUAUCUUUUCUUUCUUUUCUAUUAUUUGCUAACGGAGCCAGAUAAGUCACCUGUAGGAGAGAACAAAAGAAAAGCACUCUUUCGCAUCCGUUCCUAGGGUUUGUAAACUGUACCCAGCAAGCAAUUUCGCGUCUAAUAGACGUCUAAACACAGCCCAGACGUCUAGGCUAAAUCGAGGCUAAUUUUGGGCUGUCAGUGAAAAUCUAAUAGACGUCUAAACAUACCCCAAGAAUAGACAGCUAUUGAAUGACUACAUAUAUACGUCUAAUAGACGUCUAACCAUAGCCCAAGAAUAGACUAGUCAUCAAUUAGACCGCUAAACGACUACACGUCUAAUAGACAGGCAAUAUGGGUCUAGGCUAAAACAAGGCUGAUUUUGGGCUGUCAGUGAAAAUCUAAUAGACGUCUAACCACAGCCCAAGAAUAGACUAGUCAUCAAUUACACUACAUAUACAUGUAAUAGACAACAAAAUGAGGCAUAAGGAUUCUUUUCACUCAAAUAUAACAGGUUCUCAUAAAUGAAAAUCCAUCCAUACUAAUUGAAUAUAAAGGGAUUUAUUUUGAAUAAUUAUAUAUACAACAACAACUUGGACAACAUUCAAACAUAAAAAUUAACAAAUAUAUGUAACAAAAAAUAUGUAAAACAAUUAAUUUUUUAAGAAUUGACCUAUGAAUUUUCAUUUAAGUGAAAUUACUAAACUUACAUAUAUGAGCUUGAUACAAAUGAACAUUCGAGAAGAAAAUUUCAGAUGGCACUUAGAGGCUUUUGCAUCUGAACUCUUUAUAUCUAUCUAUCUUUAUAUAUAUAUUCAAUUGCUGUACUUUGUUGACUGAUUGCAGGAUAAUUAGCAAUAAACAGUGUCUUUAAAUCAAAUAAAGUGGAUUACAUCACUCCAGUUCUGAGGUUUUUACACUGGCUAUCUGUCUGUCAAAAAAUUAAUAUCCAAAAACUACAGUUGGUUAUUAAAUUAACAUUUUAACGACAAAGUAAAUUUCUAAUCUUCUGAUGCACUAUGAACCAUCCAGAGCAGACCUCUCAGGACAUCUGGGACAGUAGCCAACUACUUCUAUAUCUCCAAAGUCAAAACAAAAUAUGGAGAAGCAGCAUUCAGAUUUAUAUCUGAAACAAAUUCACCGAAAACUGAAUGUAUGCUGCAUAUUUUAAUUAUUUACAAACAAGUUUAAAGACUUUAUGUUUGCCACUACCUUUUAUUAAAUGGAGAGGAUUUUUUUUUUUUUAUUUCUUUUCAUGUUGCACUAUGCUGCUGUUAAAUUUUAUGUAAAGUACUUACAAAAUUUGCUUUAAAUCAACUAUAAUUUAAAAACAAAAAUAUACUGGUAUCUUUAUAAUAAUAAAAAAUAGUAAUGAUAAGUUUCAUAGUUUCAUGGUUACCGCAUCCAUUGAAUUUAGAUACAUUUGCAAUUACACGUGCAGGUAACGUUAACUUUUUGGAGAAAAGUAGUACUCUGCAAUGUUAAUGUUAAAAUGUCAUGGUUUCUACACAUUAUAACAGCUAACUAAUUUAAAAAAUGAACAUAUCAAAAAUAACACGCAUACUUACAAGAUCGAAGUAGAAAUGUGAAGGUUUUCACUCAGACUGUUGCUCACCCGUUGCUCUCCGACAGCUGCCUCGUGUAAAAUAAAAUGGCGGAAAUGUUUAUCGCGAGAUUUGGCUAAAGUGAUCUAGACAUGUCUCAGUAGUGUUUCGAUUGUGCCAUCUAGCGGUUGGGAAAUGCAAUUGCAUUUGAUUUGAUUUUUUUUUAUCGUAGAUUGUGUAUGAAUGUUUGACAGAAUAUAUAUUAAGCUGUGUAAGCGAAAACAUUUCAAAGACUAAUAUUCUAGGUCGCUGGUCUGAAUCUGGGCUAUAGCCAAGCCGUACGUAGACCAGAUUGCAUUGAUUUCGCCAGGUGGGCUAAAGCAGACCGCAUAUAGCCCGUCCAAUUCGGAGCUAAAUCGUGACUACAGAUCGACCAUGUCGUGAAAAUGACAUAUUGAACAUUGAUAUCAUACCAAUGCGAAAAUGAUUGAAUAUUAACCAUUUCAUGCACUGCCUGGCAAAAAAAUACAAUUAAUCAGUUUUGACAAAAAGUGGGCUACAAUAGCCGGGUCUGAAUACGAGCUAAAUCGUGGCUAAGCACAGCCUACACAUAUAACAUGUAAAAUAAAGUAAACCAAACAACUUGUAAUCACGGUAGACUCUGCGUACAUGAUGGAAUAUCAUACAUCUCACAAGUUAUUUUGCAAAAAAAAUACAUUUAUCCAGAUUAAAUGUUAUUUGGGCUAAAAGUGGGUUACACAUAGCCGGACUAUAUCGGUCUAUAUUUAACCCAGACAUUGAAAUGAGGGCUAUUGCUUGCUGGGUAGCUACAUGCAACAAGCUCAAGUAGCCCGUGUCAACGAAUCAUUGUAGUUUUGUAGGGCGUUAUUUUAAUGACAAAUGUGAGAGAGUUUUAAGAGUUGCACAGGACACAGUUUGAGAGAGACACACGUUUUUAAGUGCGCGCGGCCGGUGUCCCCCCACCCAGCACCAGACGUCAUUUGGACGUCGUUUUCUGGUCUAAAUGAAGUCGACCCGUCAUGGCCAUCUUUUAGACCAAAAAGCGACGUUGAAAAUUGGUCUUCAUUUGGUCUGUCGGAUUUGGUCCAAAUUAAGCCCAAAAAGCGAAGUUGAAAAUUGGUCUUCAUUUGGUCCGUCGGAUUUGGUCCAAAUUAAGCCCAAAAAGCGAAGUUGAAAAUUGGUCUUCGAUUGGUCCGUCGGAUUUGGUCCAAAUAAGCCCCAAAAGCGACAUUUAACGUCUCCAAAUUUAGCCCAAAAAUAGAUGUAAAUGGGCUUUAAGUCCAAAUUUAUCAGAAAAAUAACUUUUAUUUCGCACCACAAAGCCCUUGACAUAAACCAGUGAUUAAAUAUAUUAGACCUCAGGUCUGAAGCAUUGUUAAAUAUAUUUAAAUAUUUUGAAAAAACUUGAUGGUCACGCGCUGAACUGGAGCGGAGGAAGUCACCAUGGAAAUGGGGCGCAGCUCAACCGUCAAGCAGCUGAAUGGACGCUGUCUCUCAUGGAUGUUUUCACUAAUUUCAGAAAUGUGUCUUCAGAAAAGUUAGCAUCUCAACCAUAAUCCUAACUACAAGAGUUAUUUUGAUGUCCACACUGUAAGAGCAUUACUCGAUUCUUCCAUGCUGAUGGCCGUGCGUGUAUCCAGCUGAAGAACAUUUUUAGACAUUAUGAAACAUAUAACUAAGUUUAGCUCCAACCCCAGUUAAGCGGACCUGAGCAGCUGAUCAAGGAUCAGCAGAAACUCUGCAGAACAAUGGUCCUCCAGCCCAGGACUGGACACCAGUGUUAUGCUGGGGAUGGAGGAAGAAGCAGAAGAUCAGAGAUCAGGCAGAGAUCUACUGGUGCCCCUGUGGGAAUCCCAUUUACCUAACGUGUUAGUUAAACCAAAGAUUUCCAUCACGCACCUUCAUGUCCAAGCCAGACUUUUGUUCAUCUUUGAAACACAAAUGCAGAACUUUUUAAUAAAAUCGGAUAAUUUUUUUAUAUUAAAUAACGCAUUCACACAAGCACCAUGAUGCAUCAGUGCUGCAUUGGCGUGAGAGCUGGCGCUUUUGUGAAAAUCCAUUGGGGAUUCAUAAUUUCUGAAUAGAUUAUUUUUACUGUUGUUGUUGUUGUUUUUUGCGUACCCAAGGCAUCUGUUAAAAAAUAUCUUAAUUUGUGUUCUGCAACAUGGUUUGGGGCAACAUGAGGGUAAGAAAAUAAUGACAGAUUAAAAUUUUUGGUUGUUCUAAUGUGGUUAUAAUUGUUCAUAGUUUAUUGUCUUGAAAAAUUAUAUUAAUACAGAAAGAUGGAUUAAUUUGAUAAGUUUAUAAUAAAGACUUUUAAAUUGAU